UAACAAUUCCGUCCAUUUUCCGAUGGGAAGGGUGGCUGCUCCGGCCUCCGAGGAGAGGGCAAUGAUAUUCCCCACCUGGCUUCCAAGAGACUCCGUCGUCUCCUCCUCCUCGCCUUCCUCGCCCUUAUUCCUCCCUUUUUUUUCUCCCCACUUCCACCAGGUCAUUCCGCUUCCCCAUAACCAUAAUCCUAGAGAGCUCUCCGAUCCUUGAUUUGAUCGCAGACAAAUCCGAUUUUUAUGAAACCCUGGCGUUCUUAUUAGCUCGCAUCGCCUCGGAUGCGAUAGCGGAAGUGCGGCUGGUUGAAAGAUCCUCCUCUCGCCUGCGCCCAUGGCGGCGAUUCGAUCGAAGCCGCUCCCAACGCCGUAAAAAUUUGAUCCGUUUGCCAUUAUUUGUGGAAAAAAGAAGUUAUUUUUUGAGUGUCAAUACUUAGUGAUCUUAUUCUUUGUUGAGAAAUGGAAGCCUACCAGAUUGAUCUUGAUUCUUGGGUAAAUUUUGUGGAGAUUGAUGUCUCUCCUUCGGAUGAAGUGUUGUUUGCGCUCCAGGGCAGGUAGGGAUUUGCUGAAGAUGUCUGGUAACAGUAGUGCAAAAGUUGGCUAUGUGAGCAAAAAUGAGUUGAUUUUAUUCCAAUUUCGAGGACUGUAUUCACAUUUGAGAAUGUUGGCAGAUCAAGAAAGUUCGCUUCUAAAAUUGUGCUGUCCGGGCAAAAUUUGACAUUGUUGAAAGGGAUGUAAUCAAGCUAUCACAGCAUGUCAUGGAAGACUGAAGACUUUGACUAUGUAUUGUGAUCGAUAGCUGAGAUCAUUACUCUUUAAGUCAUCGUGCGACGCUGUGAAAAAUGAUAAUCAGGUUGAUGUGAAGAGAGUGAUUGGCUGCACUGCCUUCGGCUGGAAGAUCUGGAGGAGUGGAAGCAUAGCUUUUCAGCCAAACCUAGACAAAGACUACCAAUUGCUGGCAAUGACAAACUUCACCUACUUCUGCUGUAGGAGUGUACCUUGAUGCUCUUUGUGAUGGAAUGUAGUGAAUGGACCAAGUUAAAUGGCAUGCCAGGCUCUCCCAUGUCCUGGCCAUGGCACCUAGCUCAUGGAAUCAUCCUUUGGGGCGGGGGGGGGGGGGGGGGGGGUCGGGGGACCCUUGGACCAUGCUUUGCCUUUGAUGUUAAGAAAUACCAAGUUUGGGAGAUCCAGCUGAUCUGAUGUCUUAACUUACAUGCUUUGGCUUUUGUUAGAAACAUAUACUAAAUUUUCUAUUAUACAGUGCAACCAAAA